CAAUAGCGUAUAUUAAAGUUGUUGCGGUUAAAAAGCUCGUAGUUGGAUUUCUGCUGAGAACGACCGGUCCGCCCUUUGGGUGUGUAUCUGGCUCUUUCUUGGCAUCUUCUUGGUGAACGUUGCUGCACUUGACUGUGUGGAGCGCUACCCAGGACUUUUACUUUGAGGAAAUUAGAGUGUUUCAAGCAGGCAUACGCCUUGAAUACAUUAGCAUGGAAUAAUAAGAUAGGACCUCGGUUCUAUUUUGUUGGUUUCUAGAGCUGAGGUAAUGAUUAAUAGGGAUAGUUGGGGGCAUUCGUAUUUAACUGUCAGAGGUGAAAUUCUUGGAUUUGUUAAAGACGGGCUACUGCGAAAGCAUUUGCCAAGGAUGUUUNCAUUGA
rnacentral:rRNA from 1 species